UGUGAGAGAUAAUGUUGAUACCAGCUCAAGACAAGGUUGAUGUAGGGGAAGCCAUAUUGUGGAAAAGAAACCCUAUUGUAACUUUGAAUGACCUCUGACUAACUAACCCAGCUGGAUAUGAACCCUC